CGGGAAGUAGCUCAGCUUGGCAGAGCGCUUCGUUCGGGACGAAGAGGUCGCAGGUUCAAAUCCUGUCUUCCCGACCA
rnacentral:tRNA from 5 species